UACGGAGGAUGCGAGCGUUAUCCGGAUUUAUUGGGUUUAAAGGGUGCGUAGGCGGGACAUCAAGUCAGCGGUGAAAGUUCGUGGCUUAACCACGAAAUUGCCGUUGAAACUGUUGUUCUUGAGUGUAGAUGAGGUAGGCGGAAUUCGUAGUGUAGCGGUGAAAUGCUUAGAUAUUACGAAGAACUCCAAUUGCGUAGGCAGCUUACUAGGCUACAACUGACGCUGAGGCACGAAGGUGCGGGUAUCAAACAGG
rnacentral:rRNA from 1 species